GUGGGGAAUAUUGCGCAAUGGGCGAAAGCCUGACGCAGCGACGCCGCGUGAGGGAUGAAGGUUUUCGGAUCGUAAACCUCUGUCAGAAGGGAAGAAACUACGUUGUGCUAAUCAGCAGCGUACUGACGGUACCUUCAAAGGAAGCACCGGCUAACUCCGUGCCAGCAGCCGCGGUAAUACGGAGGGCGCAAGCGUUAAUCGGAAUUACUGGGCGUAAAGCGCACGUAGGCUGUAGUGUAAGUCAGGGGUGAAAUCCAACGGCUCAACCGUGGAACUGCCUUUGAUACUGCACAACUUGAAUCCGGGAGAGGGUGGCGGAAUUCCAGGUGUAGGAGUGAAAUCCGUAGAUAUCUGGAGGAACAACAGUGGCGAAGGCGGCCACCUGGACCGGUAUUGACGCUGAGGUGCGAAAGCGUGGGGAGCAAACAGGAUUAGAUACCCCAGUAGUCC
rnacentral:rRNA from 1 species